AUUGAACGCUGGCGGCAGGCUUAACACAUGCAAGUCGAACGAGUGGCGGACGGGUGAGUAAUGUAUGGGAAACUGCCUGAUGGAGGGGGAUAACUACUGGAAACGGUAGCUAAUACCGCAUACCAUCAGAUGUGCCCAUAUGGGAUUAGCUAGUUGGUGGGGUAACGGCUCACCAAGGCGACGAUCCCUAGCUGGUCUGAGAGGAUGACCCCCCACACUGGAACUGAGGAACGGUCCAGACUCCGUCGGGAGGCAGCAGGGGGGAAUUUUGCACAAUGGGCGCAAGCCUGAUGCAGCCAUGCCGCGUGUAUGAUGAAGGCCUUCGGGUUGUAAAGUACUUUCAGCGGGGAGGCGUUACCCGCAGAAGAAGCACCGGCUAACUCCGUGCCAGCCGCCGCGGUAAUUC
rnacentral:rRNA from 1 species